CAGCUUCAGUCGAGUCACCACCACCACAGAGUAAUAUAAACUGUCAGGAACGCUUCUUCCACAAAGGUAUUCAAAUCUUUAAGGCCACUGCUGAAAGUCUACUACCAUUCUACUACCAGUUCUUAACAUCCUCUUCUCCAUUAUAUGGAGAUCUGAGGGAACCAGGUGUUCCCUCUUGCAACUACAUAUGCUAAUCAUUACCUCAAUUUUUUUUAAACCAACUAAACCAGUCACUUUCUCCCUCAACCUCUCAGUAACUGGUAUUAAACAGCUCAUUUUAAAUAUUGAAUUGCAUGUGAAUAUUUUGAUAACUGAGCUAGUGAAACAAAUAUGCAAAUCAAAUCAUCCACUGGAUACAUGAAUGGGACUUAUCCUUCUGCUGUACCGUUAAGCUCCCAGUUGCUUCAAGAUUUGCAGAUCAUACUCUGUAGAUUAAGUUACUCCCUUAGGUAAUUCUGAACUCCGAAUUUGGACCAGUAUACAAUCCACUGCUACUGCAUAGCAUUUUAAGACUAAAAAAAAUCAUACUAGAGUCAUGUAGUACUAAAUGUCAAGAACCCUACUUAGAAGCAUCUGUAUUUACUUUGAUCAGCCCUGUGUUAACAAGAUCUAGUUUUCUAAUUCUUGAAGAACUAGUUUUAUUAAACUGUUUUACAUUGUUGAAUGAUUAAAGGAGAGCUUACACCCACGAAAACUUUGUUUUCCCCUCCUCCCUUAAGUUUUGCCUAGAACUGGUAUUAGGAUAAGUAGCAUAGUUGAAGAGUAGGCAUUUCUGGUUAAUGACAGAUUAAGUAAUGCAUAUCCUAUAAUAGCUCUUUAAAAAUCAUUAAUACACAAGAGUAAGCCUUCUACCAGAUCUUUUGCAAUCUGUAGAAGAUGAAAGUGUUUACCUCUCUCUGGGGUGCAGAAUUAUUUUUAAGAGCAUCAGAAUUCAGAUUUUUCCUGUUACUAUUUGAACAACGGUCACCCAAGAUGAAAAUAAAACAAAGCAAGGUAGAAGCAACCUGAUCUUGAGGAAGAGCUUUCGUUUCUAUAUCUUGUAACAGACACUGCCUCCUUUUUCAUAUCAAGAAAACUUGGUUCUUUUGUAAGCCUCCAAUGGCAGUUGACAGUAAACAUGUAAUAUGAUUCUCAGCGUUCACUCUAAUAAAGGAUCCUUGCUGUGUAGGAAACCUACACUUAUUUCUCCUUCUUUGAAGUGCUCAGAAACCAAUUUAUUCUGCUGUUCAGGAGGGUUAGGGUCCUUCUUUCGGUGGUGGGGAAACUGUAUUCGCUACCACACGAUAAAUUCAUAUUAUUCUGACAGUCUUCAUUCGAAGCAAGAUAUCUCAUCCAUGCAACUCCUGUUCUAUUCUGCACCUCGCGCCUCUUUUUAGUUACUAUAACAUUGCCAUUUCUGUACUGUGCCUAAAGCAGGAAGUAGAUCAGCUAACACAAGACCUAGCACGAAGGAAGCAAUUGGAGAAGCAGAACUAACUAUGCCAUUGUCCUAUCAAGCUACACAUCUACGAGUAGCAAAGACCAAGAAUUGCUUAAUGCAACAAACUCAGGGGACUAGAUACACACUUAAGUUGAUUUGGACACUUAAUCUACUUUUACCUGACUUAAA